UUAAUCGGAUCUACAAAUUGAUUUACAGAUCGGUGAAUUAAUGAUUUGAAGUUGAAAUUAAGUUAAAGAAGAUACACCCUCCCCCUGUUGCUGUUGUUCCUAUAUGAAAAAUUAAAUCAAUUUCCUGUGUUGUACACAAAAAUCAGACCUAGGGUUUGGGUGCUCCAUCUUGUUCCUAUAUGAAAAAUUAAAUCAAUUUCCUGUGUUGUACACAAAAAUCAGACCUAGGGUUUGGGUGCUCCAUCGUCCAUUCCAGUUCGACAAUCGAAGAAUUUGUAGAGCUUGGUAAUCAUUCUGUGUAAUCGAACCUUGGUCUGAACUAGCGGUUCCAGCAACAAGGCGAAUUUCUGAGGCAAUGAAGCAAUCCAGCAAUCAUGUAACCUCAGCUCUUUCACUUUCUGUUUACUGCUCUAAUUUUUUUGAUUACUUCCUACCUUUAAUGGAGAAAUGUAGAUUGUUGAAGUUGAUAAUACUUCUCGUAGAAAGUUCGACUGAGAAGAGAUUAUGCAGUAUGCUCGUGAACGCGAAGAACAUGUCUUUUAAUCUCAUAAUUAUCUUUCUACUUUUAUCUUCUUCAUGUUUUAGUU
rnacentral:lncRNA from 1 species